UUCACGUAAUGUAACGCUUCAGACCAAAAAAAGCGAUGUUUCCAUCGCUUCAGCGCGUCACGCUUAAAGCUCGCUUUAAGCGCGCUUUUUUAAACACAGCUCUUAACAAAUGUUGAAGAAAAUGUACGCAAACCUAUUUGACAGAACACGACACAAACACACGGAAUUUGUGUGAGAAAUGGAUGUAUUGGCUCUUCUAUCCUGUCUCGGUUUGCAAAGCAUCCAUUUUACAGAUUCGCCUAGAUGCAAAUCAAAGUGUUCAUCUUGUUGCUAAGGAAGGUCUAGAGCCAUAUCUUCCUCUUGCAGAUAUGGUAGACAUUUAUGGAGAAGUUCAACGGUUAUCCAAACGCCUUUCAAGAUGCAAAACGAAUACAACACCCUUGUGGCACGUUUGAGUUCUCCCAAUUUUGUUGAGAAAGCUCCUGAGGACGUUGUUCGUGCAAGAAGGCAUCAAAAGCAGAAGAAAAAUUGAAUCUUACAAAAACUCGUCCGUCUUUUCUUCAAUCGACUAUUUUGGUCUUAGAGUAGAUGUAAUUCUCUACUGUAAUUGUGUUUGUUGAUUAACUUGUCUUCGGUCUAUUGGCACCUUAGGAUUAAUCGUGUCGACUCCGCUGCAACGCGCGGGUUCCCCACUAUAUAGAUUUGUGGGUUUGUUUAAAAUAGGGAAUUUUUAUAUUGUUUUCUUGAAAUUAAGAUUAUAGAUGGUUUGUUAUUAAGUUGUUUCAUGAAUUUAAUUUGUUUAGAGUUGACUCCGAAUUAGAUGGCUGGAUU
rnacentral:lncRNA from 1 species